rnacentral:lncRNA from 1 species
CCUGCACAUGACAGCCACCCUCCAGGAAAUGACUGCCAAAGCCCUGGUUUAGAGUAGUUAUCAGGUGCUGUCAAACUGAGAAAGUGAAUGUUAUUGUUGCUUUAGAUUUGUUCUAACGCAGGGUUACUCCGGCUCUUUCAUAGGAAUCCUCCUACAGAUCAGGAUAAUGUCAGAAUUCCUUUGAGGACGAAGUUGUUUUGAUCAUUACAUCUGUUGAGAGUGGAAGAUCGAGCAAGAUUGAAGCGGACGGAGAAAAAUUGAGCAUUCUAACACAUUAUCCCCAUCUGAACUAGUCAGAGCACCUCACAAAGACAUCCAGGCACCUGAUUUCAUCACAAAGUGGAUUUUUACCCAGGACAUUUACCAGAGACGGAGGUUUUUUACAGAACCGCUGGGAAUUUACAGUCUAUGUAACUGUGAAGAAGACAAAAAGAAAAGGAAAAUAAAAAGCAGAAAGAUGACGAUGGCGAUAGUCCUACAAGUGUGCUUGCUGCUAUUGGUCGUCCUCCAGAGAGGCACUCCCUCUUUAGCUCAGACCAUCACCUCAGCACCAACCACUGCUGAUGCUGCUGCUACUGCUGAUGCUACUGCUGAUGCUACUGCUGAUGCUGCUGCUGAUGCUGCUGCUGAUGCUGCUGCUGAUGCUGCUGCUGAUGCUACUGCUGCUGGGUAUUCUACAAUACCUGUGAACACCACAGUGGCUGUGGGACAGCCUGCAGUAUUUUACUGUGGCGUGCCCCCAGAAACCCCACAACUCACAUUCACUUUCUACAGAGGACAAAGCAACUAUACCAUCACCUGUCCUAGUGAUCAUUUAGAGGAUGUCAGCCAGGCUCUCUAUGGAAGUUGUUUAAUGACCAAAAAUGAGUCUCUUGCUGUGUGGAGCAUCAAAGGAACCUCUUUCUCAGACAACGGCACAAGAGUCGUGUGUCAGCAGCCACAGAACCUUAUCAAACCAACUGCAUUUCUGCAUGUUUAUGAUAAUGGCGUCUCCUACUACAUCCUGAUUGGCUGUGUCAUUGGGGGCUUCUUUGGUAUCCUGCUGGUCUUUGGUUUGUUUAUCAUCACACUGCAAAGAUCAGAACGGUUCCGGAGAGCAUUUGGAGGAGGAGAAGCAGAAGAUGACAAGACUGAAAUUGUAACAAAGGAGGAAAAGAAGAUUUAAAGUCAUGAUGCACUAAUGUGUAUGAAUUAAGCCUGUCUAGGUAAUUUUAUGUUCUUUGACCAAGAUAAAUAUAUCCGUCCACUUUAAUUUGCACACAAAACUACAUGUGAAGAAACCAGGCCCCAACUUCUACUUUUGCACCUUUAUAUGGUAGUGUAUGCACUCAACUUAUCACUGGAUUGGUUCUCUUCAUAAAAUUAAACAUGCAGAAAUGAGCUGCCAGACUGCACGAAGCACACUUUUUUAAGAACAGUUUGAUACUCUUAAAAUACUCCAAAAAAUUGAACACUGUUUCUACAAUGUUAUUGGUGGGUUAAGCUUUGGACGACACUAUCUUACUGUGCUGAGAAAGUCAUCAUGAACAGCAAAAUGCCUUGAAAACGCUGACCAGUUGCUGAACUUAUAACUUAAAGGAGAAACAAACUCUAUACUGGUGGUGGUUGCUUUAAAUACCAUGUGGGAAAAUACAUUACUGUUUUUUGUGUUUGAACUGUGAAUUUUAAUUAAACUGUAUUAUUAAAGAAUAUUAAAAAGGUAUAAUAAAAAUAAUAAUUUGUUGCUAAUUGUCA